AGAGUUUGAUCCUGGCUCAGGACAAACGCUGGCGGCGUGCUUAAUACAUGCAAGUCGAACGGUCUACCUUCGGGUAGAUAGUGGCGGACGGGUGAGUAACGCGUGAGAAUCUGGCUUCAGGUUCGGGACAACAGUUGGAAACGGCUGCUAAUACCGGAUGUGCCUAAUGGUGAAAGAUUUAUCACCUGAAGAUGAGCUCGCGUCUGAUUAGCUAGUAGGUGUGGUAAGAGCGCACCUAGGCGACGAUCAGUAGCUGGUCUGAGAGGAUGAUCAGCCACACUGGGACUGAGACACGGCCCAGACUCCUACGGGAGGCAGCAGUGGGGAAUUUUCCGCAAUGGGCGAAAGCCUGACGGAGCAAUACCGCGUGAGGGAGGAAGGCUCUUGGGUUGUAAACCUCUUUUCUCAGGGAAGAAUGAUGGCGGUACCUGAGGAAUAAGCAUCGGCUAACUCCGUGCCAGCAGCCGCGGUAAUACGGAGGAUGCAAGCGUUAUCCGGAAUGAUUGGGCGUAAAGCGUCCGCAGGUGGCAAUGUAAGUCUGCUGUCAAAGCGUCUGGCUCAACCAGAUAAAGGCAGUGGAAACUACAUAGCUAGAGUAAGGUAGGGGUAGAGGGAAUUCCUGGUGUAGCGGUGAAAUGCGUAGAGAUCAGGAAGAACACCGGUGGCGAAAGCGCUCUGCUGGACCUUAACUGGCACUGAGGGACGAAAGCUAGGGGAGCGAAUGGGAUUAGAUACCCCCGUAGUCC
rnacentral:rRNA from 1 species